CAUCACGUUGAAACACUGAUUUCCGUACGAUCACUGAAGUUAAGCAAAGUCAACCCUGAUCAGUAUCUAGAUGGGCGACCCCUUGGGAAUAACAGGUGUUGCAAG